GAUGAACGCUGGCGGCGUGCCUAAUACAUGCAAGUCGAGCGAACAGACGAGGAGCUUGCUCCUCUGACGUUAGCGGCGGACGGGUGAGGAAAACGUGGAUAACCUACCUAUAAGACUGGGAUAACUUCGGGAAACCGGAGCCAAUACAGGAUAAUAUAUUGAACCGCAUGGUUCAAUAGUGAAAGACGGUGUUGCCGUCACUUAUAGAUGGAUCCGCGCCGCAUUAGCUAGUUGGUAAGGUAACGGCUUACCAAGGCAACGAUGCGUAGCCGACAUGAUAGGGUGGUCGGCCACACUGGAACUGAGACACGGUCCAGACUCCUACGGGAGGCAGCAGUAGGGAAUCUUCCGCAAUGGGCGAGAGCCUGACGGAGCAACGCCGCGUGAGUGAUGAAGGUCUUCGGAUCGUAGAACUCUGUUAUUAGGGAAGAACAAAUGUGUAAGUAACUAUGCACAUCUUGACGGUACCUAAUCAGAAAGCCACGGCUAACUACGUG
rnacentral:rRNA from 1 species